rnacentral:misc_RNA from 1 species
CAGAAAAAUGCUGAUCCUGUCGAUACCGCCGAGUCUUCUUCAGCUGCAAGCCCCCAGGCUAGCGCAUGAGGCUCACAUCAUGGAAGAAUUUCUUCUAAAUUUGUAAGGGAUGGAAACAAUACAGAAAAUCAUCUUGUUCUUUCAAAUAGUAAAUAGCGAUCAUCUGUCAUUUACCUUGGCUGCGCCUAAGGAGAUUAAAACGGCAAAAGAAACCAAGAGGGUCUAUUUACCUAGGGUCUAUUUACCUGUAUCAUAGAGGAACCACACCAUUAAAAUUAGGAAAGAUGGAGGAAUUGUAUCGUUACCAUAGGG